GAUGAACGCUGGCUACAGGCUUAACACAUGCAAGUCGAGGGGAAACGCCGGGGAAGCUUGCUUCCCCGGGCGUCGACCGGCGCACGGGUGAGUAACGCGUAUCCAACCUGCCUCUGACUGAGGGAUAACCCGUCGAAAGUCGGCCUAAUACCUCAUGGCAUCGUCUGCGGGCAUCCAACGACGAUUAAAGAUUUCAUCGGUCAGGGAUGGGGAUGCGUCUGAUUAGCUUGUUGGCGGGGUAACGGCCCACCAAGGCUACGAUCAGUAGGGGUUCUGAGAGGAAGGUCCCCCACAUUGGAACUGAGACACGGUCCAAACUCCUACGGGAGGCAGCAGUGAGGAAUAUUGGUCAAUGGGCGGGAGCCUGAACCAGCCAAGUAGCGUGCAGGAAGACGGCCCUAUGGGUUGUAAACUGCUUUUAUGCGGGGAUAAAGUGAGGGACGUGUCCUUCAUUGCAGGUACCGCAUGAAUAAGGACCGGCUAAUUCCGUG
rnacentral:rRNA from 1 species